CCCUUAGAUGUUCGGGGCCGCACGCGCGCUACACUGAAGGAAUCAGCACGUCUUUCUCCUUGUCCGAAAGGACUGGGUAACCCGCUGAACCUCCUUCGUGCUAGGGAUUGGGGCUUGUAAUUCUUCCCCAUGAACGAGGAAUUCCCAGUAAGCGCGAGUCAUAAGCUCGCGUUGAUUACGUCCCUGCCCUUUGUACACACCGCCCGUCGCUACUACCGAUUGGAUGGUUUAGUGAGAUCCUCGGAUUGGUCCCGGCGCGGCCUCUGGUCGUGCCAGAGUGCCGAAAAGAAUGUCGAACUUGAUCAUCUAGAGGAAGUAAAAGUCGUAACA
rnacentral:rRNA from 1 species